rnacentral:tRNA from 1 species
GGGCCCUUAGCUCAGUUGGUUAGAGCCCCCGGCCCAUAACCGGUCUGUCAUAGGUUCGAGUCCUAUAGGGCCCACCA